rnacentral:rRNA from 1 species
UACGUAGGGUGCAAGCGUUAAUAGGAAUUACUGGGCGUAAAGCGUGCGCAUGCGGUUUUGUAAGUCUGACGUGAAAUCCCCGGGCUCAACCUGGGAAUUGCGUUGGAGACUGCAAGGCUAGAAUCUGGCAGAGGGGGGUAGAAUUCCACGUGUAGCAGUGAAAUGCGUAGAGAUGGGGAGGAACACCGAUGGCGAAGGCAGCCCCCUGGGUCAAGAUUGACGCUCAUGCACGAAAGCGUGGGGAGCAAACAGG